UGAUAUUUUGAGUGAUCCUGUUUUUUUUGAGAAAAAGUCUUGACUUUUGGAAUGUUCUCUCAUUUGUUUUUUCUGUGUUUCUUACUUAGACCUACCCAGUUCUUGUGAAUUCAGGUGAAGUUAAACUACUUACUGAAGAAUUAGAAAUAACUUGCCAUGUCAAGGUUUUCUCUUAAAGUACAGACUGUACAAUUCUUGGAGGAUAAUUGCUUCAGAUUUAAAAAGAAACAAUGAAAAUAAGACUCAUCCUCUCAUGAUGCCACAUGGCGGAGGACACUCCAUGUAUCACCCCUUCUCACAACAACAAUGAAAUAAUCUCCCAGCACAUUUUGGAAGAAUGAAUAAACCUCUCCAAGAAGCCACCCAGAAGGCUGGAGCUGGGGAGGACUACCUGGCCACCGAACAAAGGAAGAAAUGGGAGGCUGUCUGUGGGGUGGGUCACCAGCAGGGACAAAACCACCUCAUCCUAUCUCUGACAAGAGAGCACUAUUUGUUUCCGGGGUUUCAUUGUUAAUGACUAUGCAGAAAUAGUCACGUACAUAAGUGGGAAAACAACAAAAUUUCCUGAAUUAAAAGAGUUUUUGAGAGUUGUCA